rnacentral:tRNA from 1 species
GCGGGUAUAGCACAGUGGUAGUGCACUAGCUUCCCAAGCUAGCCACGCGGGUUCGAUUCCCGCUACCCGCU